UAAUACGUAGGGUGCGAGCGUUGUCCGGAAUUAUUGGGCGUAAAGAGCUCAUAGGCGGUCUGUCGCGUCGGUCGUGAAAACUUGGGGCUUAACCCUGGGCUUGCGGUCGAUACGGGCAUGACUGGAGUUCGGCAGGGGAGACUGGAAUUCCUGGUGUAGCGGUGAAAUGCGCAGAUAUCAGGAGGAACACCGGUGGCGAAGGCGGGUCUCUGGGCCGAUACUGACGCUGAGGAGCGAAAGCGUGGGGAGCGAACA
rnacentral:rRNA from 1 species